UCCAUUUAUUACUGUCAAAAAACAUUUUUUGAUCUAUAACUGUCAACCUGAAAUAUUUCAGCAUUAUACAUGUAUAUAUAGAUAAAUGCACAAUUAUGUAGGUAGGUAGGUUGGUGGGUGGGUAGGAGGUAGGUGGGUGGGAUGGUUGUAGGUAGGUGGGAUGGUUGUAGGUAGGUGGGAUGGUUGUAGGUAGGUGGGAUGGUUGUAGGUAGGUGGGAUGGUUGUAGGUAGGUGGGAUGGUUGUAGGUAGGUGGGAUGGUUGUAGGUAGGUGGGAUGGUUGUAGGUAGGUGGGAUGGUUGUAGGUAGGUGGGAUGGUUGUAGGUAGGUAGGUAGGUAGGUAGGUAGGUAGGUAGGUAGGUAGGUAGGUAGGUAGGUAGGUAGGUAGGUAGGUAGGUAGGUAGGUAGGUAGGUAGGUGUGUGUGUGUGUGUGUGUGUGUGUGUGUGUGUGUGUGUGUGUGUGUGUGUGUGUGUGUGUGUGUGUGUGUGUGUGUGUGUGUGUGACAAAA